UACUUUCUCCUUUUUAUACAGCCUGGGA
rnacentral:piRNA from 1 species